AGUCGAACGGCAGCACGGACUUCGGUCUGGUGGCGAGUGGCGAACGGGUGAGUAAUGUAUCGGAACGUGCCUAGUAGCGGGGGAUAACUACGCGAAAGCGUGUAGCUAAUACCGCAUACGCCCUUCGGGGGAAAGCGGGGGGACCUUCGGGCCUCGCACUAUUAGAGCGGCCGAUAUCGGAUUAGUUAGUUGGUGGGGUAACGGCUCACCACACGAUCCGUAGCUGGUUUGAGAGGACGACCAGCCACACUGGGACUGAGACACGGCCCAGACUCCUACGGGAGGCAGCAGGGGAAUUUUACAAUGGGGGAAACUCCUGAUCCAGCCAUCCUGCGUGUGCGAUGAAGGCCUUCGGGUUGUAAAGCACUUUUGGCAGGAAGAAACGGCACGGGAUAAUACCCCGUGCAACUGACGGUACCUGCAGAAUAAGCACCGGCUAACUACGUGCCAGCAGCCGCGUAAUACGUAGGGUGUAAGCGUUAAUCGGAAUUACCGGGCGUAAAGCGCAGGCGGUUCGGAAAGAAAGAUGUGAAAUCCCAGAGCUUAACUUUGGAACUGCAUUUUUAACUACUGAGCUAGAGUGUGUCAGAGGGAGGUGGAAUUCCGCGUGUAGCAGUGAAAUGCGUAGAUAUGCGGAGGAACACCGAUGGCGAAGGCAGCCUCCUGGGAUAACACUGACGCUCAUGCACCGAAAGCGUGGGGAGCAAACAGGAUUAGAUAAUUCUGGUAGUCCACGCCCUAAACGAUGUCAACUAGCUGUUGGGGCCUUCGGGCCUUGGUAGCGCAGCUAACGCGUGAAGUUGACCGCCUGGGGAGUACGGUCGCAAGAUUAAAACUCAAAGGAAUUGACGGGACCCGCACAAGCGGUGGAUGAUGUGGAUUAAUUGAUGCAACGCGAAAACCUUACCUACCCUUGACAUGUCUGGAAUCCCGAAGAGAUUUGGGAGUGCUCGCAAGAGAACCGGAACACAGGUGCUGCAUGGCUGUCGUCAGCUCGUGUCGUGAGAUGUUGGGUUAAGUCCCGCAAACGAGCGCAACCCUUGUCAUUAGUUGCUACGAAAGGGCACUCUAACGAGACUGCCGGUGACAAACCGGAGGAAGGUGGGGAUGACGUCAAGUCCUCAUGGCCCUUAUGGGUAGGGCUUCGACGUCAUACAAUGGUCGGGACAGAGGGUCGCCAACCCGCGAGAGGGGGAGCCAAUCCCAGAAACCCGAUCGUAGUCCGGAUCGCAGUCUGCAACUCGACUGCGUGAAGUCGGAAUCGCUAGUAAUCGCGGAUCAGCAUGUCGCGGUGAAUACGUUCCCGGGUCUUGUACACACCGCCCGUCACACCAUGGGAGUGGGUUUUACCAGAAGUAGUUAGCCUAACCGUAAGGAGGGCGAUUACCACGGUAGGAUUCAUGACUGGGGUGAAGUCGUAACAAGGUAG
rnacentral:rRNA from 1 species